AGUUCAUUGCAGUCAUGCUGGGAGUUGCUCCUAUUACUCAAUUGCUCCAAUUGAAGCAACCCAUUGGUGCACCACCAGGCCUCCUACAGCAGGCUACACAGGUAGGCAUCCAAGCAGAUCUUCAAUAUCUCCAGAGAAGAAUUCACAACUUCCCUGGGAAGCCUGUUCCAGUGCUCCAUCACCCUUACUGUGAAGAAGUUCCUUCAGAUAUAGAACAAUUGAAGACAAGACCAGACCCAGUACUGACCCCUAGGGAGAUGGACCCCCAAAAACCCAUAUUCUCCAAUUUGGAGUCAAGGAUAUCAUGUGGAACUGCAUCUAAUACUUUGCACAAGUCCAGGUAAAUGGCGUCAGUUGCUAUUCCCUUAUCCAACAGUGCUCUAAUCCCUUCGUAGAAGGUCAUCAAAUUUGUCAGGCACUUUAUACACCAGAUGAAGUCUGUAACUUCAUGCAUUACAUCAUCUAGAUCAUGCACCUACUUAGAGCUUUGUUCCCUAAGUGAUUUUUCUCAAGGCUGUAACCAGUCAGAUUUUGAAUAUUGCAAAAGACAGGGACUCCAUCCUGCAAAAGACAACUUAUGUGUUUGAUCAUGUACCCACAAAGAAGUUAUGGCACCGUAAACUGAAUAUCAGUGAAUUCAACUGUCCAAGAAAUCUCAUGAACUGGUAAAUGCACAUUUAAAUGCAAUGUAUAAAACAGUAAUUUUCACUGUUGCAUCCAAGUUCUAGAAAAGGUUGCUUGAAUUUCUACCAAUUUGUUAUACUUAAAAUUUUAUUGGCAAGUGGAAUGCACCAUAUAAAGAUUUAACUAUCCUAUCAAAGAAUGAUUGUCAUCUCAGUGGGUGCUACACUCACACUUUUUCUUAUAUAUAGCUAAAAUGAAAUACGCACAAACUUUUUAGUAACAAUUUUUUUCGGGUAUUAAGCUUAUCCGCUUAAAUUUCAGGCAAACUGUCAGAUCAGUGUUUAUGGCCAGUCGUCGGCAUCCUGAGUCCUUCACCAAGUACAGUAGAUGGUUGAGAUUUAUGUUUUCUUCCUUCAUAUGUUAGGAUACAUGUAGUAAUUUUUGCACAGUUGCACACAUUUUACUCCUUGCUCUUUUUCCACUAGUCUGUAAGGCUGGGUUACAUACAGAUUUAUUUUUGAUGUUGUGUUUUUCAUAUGUUGAACACUUGCUUUUUAUUCAUCUUGAUAUCUCUAGAACUCCUAAGGAUGCUUUCAUCUGGUAAGUGACAUCUGGAUAACUGGUGAGGAAGAAUAAUUCUUGGAAUAUUACUUCUUAAAAAUUCUGUAGGUAAAUAGAUCUACUGUUGAGAAUAGGAUCAAAAAUGAAAUCAGUAGCAAAAACAACAACAACAAAAAAAGUUAUUUCACUCUUUAGAAGCCUAUGGAGAAUUUUUUUUCUGAUUGGUCAUUCUACAUUUAAAUAAUCUAGAGGUUUAUUCCUGUUACUAUUAAUCCAUUAAUCACUAUUUUUUCCCACUGGGAGCUAAAUUUAGUAAAGAAUAUAGAGGGGAGAGGAACCAGAUAUAUGAGAAUAAUUUUCGUAAGCGAUCUGAAGGGCGAAACAGUAAUAAUUUUCUAAAAGAUGUUUUAUAAUUAUAAUAUUAUGUAUGUAAAACACAUGGGCAAGGUAGAAAUUCCAUUCAGCUUCCCUACCACACUAUUUCUUGAAGUAAUGGCACUUGAAAAAAAGAUAAGAAAAUCCUUCUUUCAUAAGACAGGUAGCUACAGAUCAUUGAACCUGGAAGAAUAAAAUUAUAGUGGUCAUAGAUUAAUCUCGUUAUGGAAUUUCAGCUGUUCAUGUUGUUUCCUUAUUACUUUGCCAGAAUACAAAUAUGUGUCAAUUUACGAAAUUUGUUAAGGGAGUAAAAUCAAGAUUAUCAGGAAAAAGCAACAAAAGCUAACAUAGUCAACAUAACCCCUGGAAUUGUUUCUUUGUGCUAUCUCAUUGAUGGUACGU
ensembl:lncRNA